rnacentral:rRNA from 1 species
UGGGGAAUAUUGGACAAUGGGCGCAAGCCUGAUCCAGCAAUGCCGCGUGGGUGAAGAAGGUCUUCGGAUCGUAAAGCCCUUUCGGCGGGGACGAUGAUGACGGUACCCGCAGAAGAAGCCCCGGCUAACUUCGUGCCAGCAGCCGCGGUAAUACGAAGGGGGCUAGCGUUACUCGGAAUUACUGGGCGUAAAGGGCGCGUAGGCGGCGCACCAAGUUAGGCGUGAAAGUCCUGGGCUCAACCUGGGAACUGCGCUUGAUACUGGUGUGCUUGAGGAUGGAAGAGGGUUGUGGAAUUCCCAGUGUAGAGGUGAAAUUCGUAGAUAUUGGGAAGAACACCGGUGGCGAAGGCGGCAACCUGGUCCAUUACUGACGCUGAGGCGCGACAGCGUGGGGAGCAAACAGGAUUAGAUACCCUGGUAGUCCACGCCGUAAACGAUGUGCGCUGGAUGUUGGGUGACCUAGUCACUCAGUGUCGUAGCUAACGCGAUAAGCGCACCGCCUGGGGAGUACGGCC